UACGUAGGCAGCGAGCGUUGUUCGGAGUUACUGGGCGUAAAGGGUGUGUAGGCGGUUGUUUUAAGUUUGGUGUGAAAUCUCCCGGCUCAACGUGGGAGGGUGCGCCGAAUACUGAAUGACUUGGAGUGCGGGAGAGGUGAGUGGAAUUCCUGGUGUAGCGGUGAAAUGCGUAGAUAUCAGGAGGAACACCGGUGGUGUAGACGGCUCACUGGACCGUAACUGACGCUGAGACACGAAAGCGUGGGUAGCAAACAGG
rnacentral:rRNA from 1 species